rnacentral:rRNA from 1 species
UACGGGGGGGGCAAGCGUUGUUCGGAAUUACUGGGCGUAAAGGGCUCGUAGGCGGCCAACUAAGUCAGACGUGAAAUCCCUCGGCUUAACCGGGGAACUGCAUCUGAUACUGGAUGGCUUGAGUUCGGGAGAGGGAUGCGGAAUUCCUGGUGUAGCGGUGAAAUGCGCAGAUAUCAGGAGGAACACCGGUGGCGAAGGCGGGUCUCUGGGCAGUAACUGACGCUGAGGAGCGAAAGCGUGGGGAGCGAACAGG